rnacentral:rRNA from 1 species
CCUACGGGUGGCUGCAGUCGAGGAUUUUUCUCAAUGGGGGAAACCCUGAAGGAGCGACGCCGCGUGAGGGAUGAAGGUCUUCGGAUUGUAAACCUCUGUCAUCUGGGAACAAUGCUACUCACCUAACACGUGCGUAGUUGAUAGUACCGGAAGAGGAAGCAGUGGCUAACUCUGUGCCAGCAGCCGCGGUAAUACAGAGACUGCAAGCGUUGUUCGGAUUCAUUGGGCGUAAAGGGUGCGCAGGCGGUGCGUUAAGUCGGAUGUGAAAUCUCACAGCCUAACUGUGAUAGGUCAUUCGAAACUGGCGUGCUAGAGGACUGGAGAGGAGACUGGAAUGGUCGGUGUAGCGGUGAAAUGCGUAGAGAUCGACCAGAACACCGGUGGCGAAGGCGGGUCUCUGGACAGUUCCUGACGCUCAGGCACGAAAGCCAGGGGAGCAAACGGGAUUAGAUACCCAAGUAGUC